AACGAACGCUGGCGGCAGGCUUAACACAUGCAAGUCGAACGGGUGUAGCAAUACAUCAGUGGCAGACGGGUGAGUAACACGUGGGAACCUUCCUAGGGGUACGGAACGACUCAGGGAAACUUGAGCUAAUACCGUAUACGUCCGUGAGGAGAAAGAUUUAUCGCCCUUAGACGGGCCCGCGUCGGAUUAGCUAGUUGGUGGGGUAGCGGCCUACCAAGGCGACGAUCCGUAGCUGAUCUUAGAGGAUGAUCAGCCACACUGGGACUGAGACACGGCCCAGAUUCCUACGGGAGGCAGCAGUGGGGGAUAUUGGACAAUGGGGGCAACCCUGAUCCAGCCAUGCCGCGUGAGUGAUGAAGGCCUUAGGGUUGUAAAGCUCUUUUACCCGGGACGAUAACGACUGUACCGGGAGAAUAAGCCCCGGCUAACUUCGUGCCAGCCGCCGCAGUAA
rnacentral:rRNA from 1 species